GAGUUUGAUCGUGGCUCAGAUUGAACGCUGGCGGCAUGCCUUACACACGCAAGUCGAACGGCAGCACGGGAGCUUGCUCCUGGUGGCGAGUGGCGAACGGGUGAGUAAUGCAUCGGAACGUAUCCUGGAGUGGGGGAUAACGUAGCGAAAGUUACGCUAAUACCGCAUAUUCUGUGAGCAGGAAAGCGGGGGACCUUCGGGCCUCGCGCUCUUGGAGCGGCCGAUGUCGGAUUAGCUAGUUGGUGAGGUAAAGGCUCACCAAGGCGACGAUCCGUAGCAGGUCUGAGAGGAUGAUCUGCCACACUGGAACUGAGACACGGUCCAGACUCCUACGGGAGGCAGCAGUGGGGAAUUUUGGACAAUGGGGGCAACCCUGAUCCAGCCAUGCCGCGUGAGUGAAGAAGGCCUCGGUUGUAAG
rnacentral:rRNA from 1 species